rnacentral:snoRNA from 1 species
GGUCCCUGUUCUUCUCAUCUAAGGCUGGAGGCCAAGAUCAGCCCUUGAGGACUGUCAUCAGAACUGCCUUGUUUUCCUGCCUCAGACAUGA